UACGUAGGGUGCGAGCGUUAAUCGGAAUUACUGGGCGUAAAGGGUGCGCAGGUGGCCGCGCAAGUCGAGUGUGAAAUCCCCGGGCUUAACCUGGGAAUUGCGAUGGAGACUGCAAGGCUAGAAUCUGGCAGAGGGGGGUAGAAUUCCACGUGUAGCAGUGAAAUGCGUAGAGAUGUGGAGGAACACCGAUGGCGAAGGCAGCCCCCUGGGUCAAGAUUGACGCUCAUGCACGAAAGCGUGGGGAGCAAACAGG
rnacentral:rRNA from 1 species